GGCGUGCCUAAUACAUGCAAGUCGAGCGAACAGACGAGGAGCUUGCUCCUCUGACGUUAGCGGCGGACGGGUGAGUAACACGUGGAUAACCUACCUAUAAGACUGGGAUAACUUCGGGAAACCGGAGCUAAUACCGGAUAAUAUAUUGAACCGCAUGGUUCAAUAGUGAAAGACGGUUUUGCUGUCACUUAUAGAUGGAUCCGCGCCGCAUUAGCUAGUUGGUAAGGUAACGGCUUACCAAGGCAACGAUGCGUAGCCGACCUGAGAGGGUGAUCGGCCACACUGGAACUGAGACACGGUCCAGACUCCUACGGGAGGCAGCAGUAGGGAAUCUUCCGCAAUGGGCGAAAGCCUGACGGAGCAACGCCGCGUGAGUGAUGAAGGUCUUCGGAUCGUAAAACUCUGUUAUUAGGGAAGAACAAAUGUGUAAGUAACUAUGCACGUCUUGACGGUACCUAAUCAGAAAGC
rnacentral:rRNA from 1 species